UCUUUGGGGAAGUUGUAUGCUGCUACAACAACAACCACAACAACAACCACAAAGUGUAGUCUUGAGUUUGAUCUGUAUUCUGAAAUAUAGGUUGAACUGAAAAAUGCAGAUCAAAUGAAAAUUUCGUGCUCAGUAGUGACUGAAAACCCGCUCAUUGAUUCGUGAUGUGUCAUCGAAUAGCUAUGCAGAGUUGCAAUUUCUCUAAGUGUACCAGAUCAUUGGCUUAAAAGCAUACAUUGAAGCAAUCCCGGUGUUCUCCAAUAAUAAACGUCUGUAUUUAUGCACACCCAUAUGAAUCCACCUGUUUUGCGAAUAACAAAAAAAAUAUGCGCCAUGACGGUACAAGUGUCAUCUGUGCAGCGAGGAAACCGUAAACAAAACAUUUAGCAAUCUUCAACCCCAACGGUGCUUAAAUCAACCCUUCAACCAAACCCUACAUACAACGCAGGCGUUAAAUUCGAACAAAUGU